rnacentral:rRNA from 1 species
GGACGAACGCUGGCGGCGUGCUUAACACAUGCAAGUCAAGGGGGCCCCACAAUGGGCAACCGGCGAACGGGUGCGUAACACGUGAGCAACCUACCGAACUGUGGGGGAUAGCCGGCCUAACGGCCGAGUAAUACCGCAUACGCUCUCAGUGAGGCAUUUCAUUGAGAGGAAACCUACGGGACAGAUCGAGGGGCUCGCGGCCUAUCAGCUAGUUGGCGAGGUAACGGCUCACCAAGGCAACGACGGGUAGCUGGUCUGAGAGGAUGGCCAGCCACAUUGGGACUGAGAUACGGCCCAGACUCCUACGGGAGGCAGCAGUGGGGGAAUCUUGCGCAGUGGCCUAACGGCUGACGCAGCGACGCCGCGUGUGGGAUGAAGCUCUUCGGAGUGUAAACCACUGUUG